rnacentral:tRNA from 1 species
GCCUGGAUGGCUCAGUCGGUUAAGGCAUCUGACUUCAGCUCAGGUCAUGAUCUCAUGGUUUGUGGGUUCGAGCCCUGCAUCGGGCU